rnacentral:lncRNA from 1 species
CUUCAUAUACUGAAAUUGAGCAUACACUGAAUUUUAUACUGAAAUUAAAUAUGUGAUCGAAUUAUAUAUCUAUUUUAUAAUUUUUUUCUUCAAAUCUGGAUCUGAAAGAGAGUAGAUUUUUUUUUAGCCAUGCAAGUAUCCGACCUCUAUGGGUAUCCACUUAGGAUCAGUCUGGAAUAGCCCUCUAUGGUGUUGAUCUUUCUUCUCCAAGAACGGUCAUCCUGCAAAUCUGAUCGAAGCAUGGAUCACAAUCCACUCUUUGAUCUUUUUUUUAAUCCUUUUCUUCUCUUCUUCUC